rnacentral:rRNA from 1 species
AGGCUUAACACAUGCAAGUCGAGCGGUAGCACAGGGGAGCUUGCUCCCCGGGUGACGAGCGGCGGACGGGUGAGUAAUGUCUGGGAAACUGCCUGAUGGAGGGGGAUAACUACUGGAAACGGUAGCUAAUACCGCAUAACGUCGCAAGACCAAAGAGGGGGACCUUCGGGCCUCUUGCCAUCAGAUGUGCCCAGAUGGGAUUAGCUAGUAGGUGGGGUAAUGGCUCACCUAGGCGACGAUCCCUAGCUGGUCUGAGAGGAUGACCAGCCACACUGGAACUGAGACACGGUC